rnacentral:rRNA from 1 species
CCUACGGGUGGCAGCAGUGGGGAAUAUUGCACAAUGGGGGAAACCCUGAUGCAGCGACGCCGCGUGAGUGAAGAAGUAUGUCUGUAUGUAAAGCCCUAUCAGUAGGGAAGAAAAUGACGGUACCCACAGAGGAAUCACCGGCUAACUCCGUGCCAGCAGCCGCGGUAAUACGGAGGGUGCAAGCGUUGUCCGGAAUCAUUGGGCGUAAAGAGUUCGUAGGCGGCAUGUAAAGUCAGGUGGUAAAGGCGCAGGCUCAACCUGGGUAGGGCACUUGAUACUGGCAAGCUGGAAUGCGGUAGAGGUAAAGGGAAUUCCUGGUGUAGCGGUGAAAUGCUGAGAUAUCAGGAGGAACAUCGGUGGCGUAAGCGCUUUACUGGGCCGUAAUUGACGCUGAGGAACGAAAGCCAGGGUAGCAAAUGGGAUUAGAUACCCGAGUAGUC